rnacentral:RNase_P_RNA from 1 species
GCAGAUGGUCGGAGAGAUGCUGUGGCAACACAGAGGAAAGUCCGGGCUCCACAGAGGCACGGUGCCGGAUAACGUCCGGCGAGGGUGACCUUAGGGAAAGUGCAACAGAAAGGAAACCGCCUGGCAACAGGUAAGGGUGAAAGGGUGCGGUAAGAGCGCACCGCGCCUUUGGUAACAAAGGUGGCAUGGUAAACCCCACCGGGAGCAAGACCAAAUAGGGAUGGCAUAUAACCUGUCUUUGGGUUGUCAUCCGGGUCGGUCGCACGAGGCGUCAGGUAACUGGCGUCCCAGAUGAAUAUCUCUCCCCUGAUUUAUUAGGGACAGAACCCGGCUUAUAGACCAUCUGCUGUU